UUCCUGUCUACCUGAGGUCUUCCAAAAGAAGUGGGGCCACUUCACUGCAAAUAAGAAAGAGUAAUCAAGGUCUUUGAUGCCUCUACAAAAUGUGCCUCUGCUUGGGUGACCUCUGUAUGUGACUGAAGGAUAAGCUUCU